CACUUCCGGGCGAAGCCGCCCGCACGCCGCGCGCAGGAAGAAGGCCCCCGGGCCGUAAACCGCCCCCGUACGGAACGAAACGGCCCCCCCUAAUAAAGAGGGCUAAUGACGGUACCGUAAGAAUAAGCACCGGCUAACCACGUGCCAGCAGCCGCGGUAAUACGUAGGGUGCGAGCGUUAAUCGGAAUUACUGGGCGUAAAGCGUGCGCAGGCGGUUCUGUAAGUCAGAUGUGAAAUCCCCGAGCUCAACUUGGGAACUGCGUUUGAAACUACAAGACUAGAAUAUGUCAGAGGGGGGUAGAAUUCCACGUGUAGCAGUGGGAGGGGUAGAGAUGUGGAGGAAUACCGAUGGCGAAGGCAGCCCCCUGGGAUAAUAUUGACGCUCAUGCACGAAAG
rnacentral:rRNA from 1 species